GAUGAAGAACGUAGUGAAAUGCGAUAAGUAAUGUGAAUUGCAGAAUUCAGUGAAUCAUCGAAUCUUUGAACGCACAUUGCGCCCAUUAGUAUUCUAAUGGGCAUGCCUGUUCGAGCGUCAUUACAACCCUCAGGCCCCCGGGCCUGGCGUUGGGGAUCGGCGGAAGCCCCCUGCGGGCACAACGCCGUCCCCCAAAUACAGUGGCGGUCCCGCCGCAGCCUCCAUUGCGUAGUAGCUAACACCUCGCAACUGGAGAGCGGCGCGGCCACGCCGUAAAACACCCAACUUCUGAAUGUUGACCUCGAAUCAGGUAGGAAUACCCGCUGAACUUAAGCAUAUCAAUAAGCGGAGGA
rnacentral:misc_RNA from 1 species